rnacentral:rRNA from 1 species
UACGUAGGGGCUAGCGUUGUCCGGAAUCAUUGGCGUAAAGCGCGUGUAGGCGGUCCGGUAAGUCCGCUGUGAAAGCCGGGGGCUCAACCCUCGGAUGCCGGUGGAUACUGUCGGGCUUGAGUACGGAAGAGGCGAGUGGAAUUCCAGGUGUAGCGGUGAAAUGCGUAGAUAUCUGGAGGAACACCGGUGGCGAAGGCGGCGUUCUGGAGCUGCAACUGACACUGAGGAACGAAAGCCAGGGAGCAAACGGGAUUAGAGU